CCGGCACGGGUGAGUAACGCGUAUGCAACUUGCCUAUCAGGAGGGGAUAACCCGGCGAAAGUCGGACUAAUACCGCAUGAAGCAGGGGCCCCGCAUGGGGAUAUUUGCUAAAGAUUCAUCGCUGAUAGAUAGGCAUGCGUUCCAUUAGGCAGUUGGCGGGGUAACGGCCCACCAAACCGACGAUGGAUAGGGGUUCUGAGAGGAAGGUCCCCCACAUUGGACUGAGACACGGCCAA
rnacentral:rRNA from 1 species